AAAAGAGAGAAAGAGAGAGAAAGAGAGAGAGAGAGAGAGAGAGAGAGGGAGAGGAAAAGUUAUUUUUUUUAAUCUGUUUUUGUUUUCCAUAUCCA
rnacentral:ribozyme from 1 species